UAAUGUGACCUACUGUCUGCUGGGCC
rnacentral:piRNA from 1 species